UAUUGAAUAAUUUUAAUUGAAAAUCAACAGUACCCUCCACAUAAUGGCAGUGGCUUUAUAUUGCACAAAUAACAUUCCUUUCAUUGGUUUUAUUUUUAUGACAGUAAUACUGCUUCCACAAUGGUAAACAAUGAGCAAAAUAAUUUUGAUUGUAAUAUCACCUCACACAUAGACAACAUACAAAAUCGUAGGAAAUAAAUAUGAAUUUCACACAUUUAAAACAAUACACCUUUUCUCUAUGCAUUACAAAAAAUGCAAUUUAUAUAACAAAUUUACAAUACCUUCAAUCAACAGCAAAAUUAUUAUUUUGUUCACACUUAUUUAACUGGGAAAAGUAAUUACAAGUGGUAUGAACACUUUUACUAAAACAUAACACUAAGACAUCUUUUUCAAAAAUGUCAAUAAUAUAACUAGGAACUAAAAUAUUAGAAAAUAUUUGUACCAGUACUAGUAUAUAUAUUUACUGACUUUCUUUUUUGAUGAAAUCCACUAGUUUAUUUAAAUCUUCAGAUAUGUAAUUUGCAGAAAUGUUUUCUACAUGCAGUGACAUUAACAGGAACACCUCUUAUUACAAAUUCAGCUAUUAUGCAGCGCAAGUGCCAUUUUUUUUAGAAAGAUAGUUUUAACUGGUUCUAAUAGAACAAAUGAUAUGCACCAAAUCAUGUUACAUGUACAAACAAGAGGCUGUCACAACGACAGCAAACCGGAUUUAUUAAAAUUUAUUUGUGUCCUGGCAAUAUCACAAGAACCAUUACAGAUGAAUAGUGAAAGUGAAAAUGGUCAAUAUCAAAUUUGACCUCCAUUUUGUCAUCAGUAUCAACAUAUUAAAAUUUGAAAAGCUUAGAUUGAAUGGUUCAUGAGUAAAUGCAACAACGUGAAUGGAAACGCCAUUUUACGAUCUUUCAAGAACCAUAACUCCUGAACGGUAAAAGUCAAAAUCGUCAUUAUUGAACUUGACCUCUAUUUUGUCAUCAGUAACAACAUAUUAAAAUUUCAAAAGCUUUGGUUGAAUGGUUCAUGAGAAAAUGCACGGACACGACGGGAAACACCAUUUUUCAAUCUUUCAAGAACCAUAACUCCUGAACAGUAAAAGUCAAAAUCGUCAUUAUUGAACUUGACCUCCAUUUUGUCAUCAGUAACAGCAUAUUAAAAUUUCGGAAGCUUUGGUAGAACAGUUCAUGCAUAAAUGCACGGACACGACUGGAAACUCCAUUUUUCAAUCUUUCAAGAACCAUAACUCCUGAACAGUAAAAGUCAAAAUCGUCAUUAUUGAACUUGACCUCCAUUUUGUCAUCAGUAACAGCAUAUUAAAAUUUUGGAAGCUUUGGUAGAACAGUUCAUGCAUAAAUGCACGGACACAACUGGAAACUCCAUUUUUCAAUCUUUCAAGAACCAUAACUCCUGAACCGUAAAAGUCAAAAUCGUCAUUAUUGAACAUGACCUCCAUUCUGUCAUCAGUAACAACAUAUUAAAAUUUGGGAAGCUUUGGUAGGACAGUUCAUGCAUAAAUGCACGGACACGACUGGAAAUCCAUUUUUCAAUCUUUCAAGAACCAUAACUCCUGAACGGUAAAAGUCAAAAUCGCCAUUAUUGAACUUGACCUUCGUACAGUUGUCAGUAAUAACAUAUUAAAAUUUUAAAAGCUUUGGUUGAACGGUUCAUGAGUUAAUGCACGGACAACAUUUGAUUGCGCCCGCGCCCGCCCGACCGCCAGCCCGCCGCCCGCCGUACAUCCCCAAAUCAAUAACCGACAUUUUUGUCACAAAAAUCCGGUUAAAAAGUAUGACAAAAUCAAUCAACAAAUGGGAACUCCUGGAAAAUAAAAACAAAACAAAUAUACACAACUCUAUCAUCUCAUUUAAAUUUCCUUUCUGUCAUCUCAUUUAAAUUUCCAUAAUACCAGAAAUUCAGGUUCUUUUUACUUUAAAUAAGUCGUUUCAUUAAUUAUGACAUAAAUGGUAUCUGUGAUGAACUGUUUUAUGGUUCACUGUGACAAACUUGCCUAUUUAGCAUUUAAAUGAAGUAGAUACAUCUACAAUGUACAUAUAACAUUAUACACUUUUGCUCAAAUUAUCUCUCCCCAAAAUAUAGACUAACAAUAUGAUAGCAAAAGAUAACACAUUUAGGACCAAACUUUGAUAUUUUACCAGAAAAACAAAGUCAUGAAAAUAGAUAGCAAAAAUUGGAAGACAUUGUCCCAAACUGCAGAAGUCAAGUUUUUACUAGAAAAUUGGACAACAGAUGUAUUCGAUACAAGGGCUUCAUAUUUUAUUAAGAUUUAUGACCCCUUCUGUAGCCAUUUUUGUAAGAACUUUUCAAACAUCAAUUGUAUCUAAACUACAGAUAUAAUGAAUAAUAGAGAUAGACCACUCUGUACAUGUACCAAGGAAAAACUUGAUGUAAAGCAUUAUUAUUUACUGUUUCAUUGCAUUUAAUAGAGAAAAGAGUACUUUGUGGCAAAUAAACCAAGAUUUUUAUAGAAAAUCCACAGCCUUAAAUACAGAGAUUUUUGUUAUAAAAUUUGAAACAUAGAUCACUCACUUGCUUUUCUAUGAUGUGCUAGUGUUUAUUUUUUACAAAAAGUUCUACAUAACCUGUAAAUUCCAAAAUACCUCGUGCUGAGUCACCAAAGUCCAGCGCACCCUAAAAGGUGUACUUGAUUAAGUCAUAUGUUUAUUUGUUUUAGGGAGCUACCAUUUGAUUUUUUAUGGGGGGGGGGGGCUAGGAUGAAAUUAGAUAAAAAUACGCAGGACAGGAGUUUUGAGUAAAAAAAAAAAGGCAGGAUGAGACACUUGCAAAAAAAAAAAGUCAGGACGACAAUUUAGGUAAAAAAAAAUCAGGAUAAACUAAAAAAAAAAAGGCAGGACCGAACAGAGUGAAAAAUAAAAAGGCAGGACAGAGAUUACAGCUAAAAAAAAAUGCAGGACAAAAUUUUUCAUCCUAGCCCCCCCAUAAAAAUCAAAUGGUAGCUCCCUUAACCAAUAGCUACAUUAAUAAACUUGUUUUAAGGAAAUCAAUGCUAGCACUGCA
rnacentral:lncRNA from 1 species